rnacentral:sRNA from 1 species
GGAUUACCCCUUUGAGCUUUCGCGCUGUGUUGAUAAAGUUUCGCAUCUCUAUCAAAUCGGAUAAUCCCACCCGCAAGACUCUGCUGUCAGAUCAAGUCUGAACUACAGCAGAUAAAGUUCAUUAGUCUCACUUCUUGCUUAUUUAUUGUAAAUUUCUUAAUAUUUCCGCUCCGAUGGUAAUAUCAGUUG